GCACUUCCAGCUGAUUGUGAGGAAACUUGCUUCGGUUGACAAUGUUUGGCUAUUGUUAACACAUUGUACAUUACUGUUGUUUACAUAUUGUGCAAUGUGUCAGGAGAUUGAAAAUACAAACCGGAAAUAUAAGCCAACAGAGCCAUACACAGACUGGCACCCCAAAAAAGUCUGGUUAAUAAUACUUUCCUGUGGACAUUUUAUCUUCACUACCUACCGUCAAAAGUACCAACAGCAUGGACAACCAGCAAAAGAGGAAAGCCAAUAGCCACACUCUUGAUCCAUCACUGUCCAACAGCAGCCUCAAGAGAGAUGCCUAAACAGAUGUUCACACAGACCUUUAGAAACUCUGUUUUGGACUUGGAUCUGGUUUCUGACCCCUGCCUGGCCUGCCCUCGAGACUGCCUAUCGUCUGGUACUGUUUGGACUCUGACCUGGUUUAUGAACUCUCGCCUGUCCCCGACCUGCCUUUGCC